rnacentral:rRNA from 1 species
AAAUUGAAGAGUUUGAUCAUGGCUCAGAUUGAACGCUGGCGGCAGGCCUAACACAUGCAAGUCGAGCGGUAGCACAGAGAGCUUGCUCUCGGGUGACGAGCGGCGGACGGGUGAGUAAUGUCUGGGAAACUGCCUGAUGGAGGGGGAUAACUACUGGAAACGGUAGCUAAUACCGCAUAACGUCGCAAGACCAAAGUGGGGGACCUUCGGGCCUCAUGCCAUCAGAUGUGCCCAGAUGGGAUUAGCUAGUAGGUGGGGUAAUGGCUCACCUAGGCGACGAUCCCUAGCUGGUCUGAGAGGAUGACCAGCCACACUGGAACUGAGACACGGUCCAGACUCCUACGGGAGGCAGCAGUGGGGAAUAUUGCACAAUGGGCGCAAGCCUGAUGCAGCCAUGCCGCGUGUAUGAAGAAGGCCUUCGGGUUGUAAAGUACUUUCAGCGAGGAGGAAGGCGUUAAGGUUAAUAACCUUGGCGAUUGACGUUACUCGCAGAAGAAGCACCGGCUAACUCCGUGCCAGCAGCCGCGGUAAUACGGAGGGUGCAAGCGUUAAUCGGAAUUACUGGGCGUAAAGCGCACGCAGGCGGUCUGUCAAGUCGGAUGUGAAAUCCCCGGGCUCAACCUGGGAACUGCAUUCGAAACUGGCAGGCUAGAGUCUUGUAGAGGGGGGUAGAAUUCCAGGUGUAGCGGUGAAAUGCGUAGAGAUCUGGAGGAAUACCGGUGGCGAAGGCGGCCCCCUGGACAAAGACUGACGCUCAGGUGCGAAAGCGUGGGGAGCAAACAGGAUUAGAUACCCUGGUAGUCCACGCCGUAAACGAUGUCGACUUGGAGGUUGUGCCCUUGAGGCGUGGCUUCCGGAGCUAACGCGUUAAGUCGACCGCCUGGGGAGUACGGCCGCAAGGUUAAAACUCAAAUGAAUUGACGGGGGCCCGCACAAGCGGUGGAGCAUGUGGUUUAAUUCGAUGCAACGCGAAGAACCUUACCUACUCUUGACAUCCAGAGAACUUAGCAGAGAUGCUUUGGUGCCUUCGGGAACUCUGAGACAGGUGCUGCAUGGCUGUCGUCAGCUCGUGUUGUGAAAUGUUGGGUUAAGUCCCGCAACGAGCGCAACCCUUAUCCUUUGUUGCCAGCGGUUCGGCCGGGAACUCAAAGGAGACUGCCAGUGAUAAACUGGAGGAAGGUGGGGAUGACGUCAAGUCAUCAUGGCCCUUACGAGUAGGGCUACACACGUGCUACAAUGGCAUAUACAAAGAGAAGCGACCUCGCGAGAGCAAGCGGACCUCAUAAAGUAUGUCGUAGUCCGGAUUGGAGUCUGCAACUCGACUCCAUGAAGUCGGAAUCGCUAGUAAUCGUAGAUCAGAAUGCUACGGUGAAUACGUUCCCGGGCCUUGUACACACCGCCCGUCACACCAUGGGAGUGGGUUGCAAAAGAAGUAGGUAGCUUAACCUUCGGGAGGGCGCUUACCACUUUGUGAUUCAUGACUGGGGUGAAGUCGUAACAAGGUAACCGUAGGGGAACCUGCGGUUGGAUCACCUCCUUACCUUAAAGAA